AGCAGCCGCGGUAAUUCCAGCUCCAAUAGCGUAUAUUAAAGUUGUUGCAGUUAAAAAGCUCGUAGUUAAAUUUCGGGGUUAGUAGGUUGGUCAUGCCUCUGGUAUGUACUGGUCUCACUGAUUCCUCCUUCCUGAUGAGCCGUAAUGCCAUUAAUUUGGUGUUGCGGGGAAUUUGGACUGUUACUUUGAAAAAUUAGAGUGUUUAAAGCAAGCUAACGCUUGAAUACAUUAGCAUGGAAUAAUGAAAUAGGACGUUCGAUCCUAUUUUGUUGGUUUCUAGGAUUGACGUAAUGAUUAAUAGGGAUAGUUGGGGGCAUUAGUAUUCAAUUGUCAGAGGUGAAAUUCUUGGAUUUAUUGAAGACUAACUACUGCGAAAGCAUUUGCCAAGGAUGUUUUCAUUAAUCAAGAACGAAAGUUAGGGGAUCGAAGACGAUCAGAUACCGUCGUAGUCUUAACCAUAAACUAUGCCGACUAGGGAUCGGAUGAUGUUAACUUUUUAAUGACUCAUUCGGCGCCUUAC
rnacentral:rRNA from 1 species